AUUGAACGCUGGCGGCAUGCCUUACACAUGCAAGUCGAACGCGAAAGGGGGGCAACCCCUGAGUAGAGUGGCGCACGGGUGAGUAAUGCAUCGGAACGUGUCCUGUAGCGGGGGAUAACCUAGCGAAAGCUAGGCUAAUACCGCAUACGCCCUAAGGGGGAAAGUGGGGGAUCGUAAGACCUCACACUAUAGGAGCGGCCGAUGCCGGAUUAGCUAGUUGGUGGGGUAAAGGCUCACCAAGGCGACGAUCCGAAGCUGGUCUGAGAGGACGAUCAGCCACACUGGGACUGAGACACGGCCCAGACUCCUACGGGAGGCAGCAGUGGGGAAUUUUGGACAAUGGGGGAAACCCUGAUCCAGCCAUGCCGCGUGAGUGAAGAAGGCCUUCGGGUUGUAAAGCUCUUUCGGCCGGGACGAAAUCGCACGCGUGAAUAUCGUGUGCGGAUGACGGUACCGGCAGAAGAAGGACCGGCUAACUACGUGCCAGCAGCCGCCGUAA
rnacentral:rRNA from 1 species